GUGGCAGAUUUUACCUGGAGCCAAUGUUUUUUUUCUGAUACGUAUAGCUUAUCAGCAAACUUUUUCAGACACAUGCUGUUCUGUACAAUGGAGAGAUUUAAAGGACAUCCUACUGGUGCCACUCCAGAAGACUGCGAGUCCAUAGAGACUGUGUGACAUAUCUCCCAGCCUCGUAUAGAUGUCUCAGAUACUCCAAAUCAUCACAAAGGGCAACAGAUGCCUACACGUAAUUGCACAGAGCUGAGGAACCUGUCAGAGGUGGUCUGCGUUCAGGCUCUGCAGCAUGUAACCAGUUGCUGGGAGAAACUCCCAAAGGUUGCUUGUUGCAGGAGCUUUUGCAGAGAGAUUAUAAAAAACAACACCUGUAAAACAAUUAACAAGAGAA
rnacentral:lncRNA from 1 species